UCGUGGAGUGAUUUGUCUUGUUAAUUCAGUUAACGAACGAGACCUUAACCUACUAACUAGGCUGUAGGCCAGCUUUCGGGCUGGUUAGUUUCUUUGGGGUGGUUCGUAUGAGCCAUCUCUUGAAACCUAUAAUCUGGGAUUUGACUUCGGUCAAGUCCUUGCUUCUUAGAGGGACAAUACUUCGUUUAUAUUAGAGUAAGGAAGUUUAAGGCAAUAACA
rnacentral:rRNA from 1 species